UACAGAGGUCUCAAGCGUUGUUCGGAUUCAUUGGGCGUAAAGGGUGCGUAGGUGGCGCUGUAAGUCGGGUGUGAAAUUUCGGAGCUUAACUCCGAAACUGCAUUCGAUACUGCGGUGCUUGAGGACUGGAGAGGAGACUGGAAUUCAUGGUGUAGCAGUGAAAUGCGUAGAGAUCAUGAGGAAGACCAGUGGCGAAGGCGGGUCUCUGGCCCGAUACUGACGCUGAGGUGCGAAAGCCAGGGGAGCAAACGGG
rnacentral:rRNA from 1 species